GUGAAUCAUCGAAUUUUUGAACGCAAAUUGCACUCUCUGGUAUUCCGGAAAGUAUGCCUGUUUGAGGGUCAGUUAAAUAAAAAUCGGUGUUGUUGCUGCUUUUCGUGGUGACGGAUCUGAAUUGAGUUGUAUUACCUUCGGGUAAGUGACUUAAAAUUUUGCAUGAUUUUCGAACGUAUUUAAACUUCUUACGUACGUUUGUGAUAUCGAUUACUAUAUUAGUUUCGGUCAUCCUCAUGAUUCGCACCUAUAAUUUUUCAUUAAAUGACCUACAUUAAGUUAAGA
rnacentral:misc_RNA from 1 species